CCUACGGGAGGCAGCAGUGAGGAAUAUUGGUCAAUGGGCGGAAGCCUGAACCAGCCAAGUAGCGUGCGGGAUGAAGGCCCUACGGGUCGUAAACCGCUUUUGCACGGGGAUAACACCCUCCACUUGUGGAGGUCUGCAGGUACCGUGCGAAUAAGGGCCGGCUAAUUCCGUGCCAGCAGCCGCGGUAAUACGGAAGGCCCGAGCGUUAUCCGGAUUUAUUGGGUUUAAAGGGUGCGUAGGCGGGCUUUUAAGUCAGCGGUAAAAAUUCGGGGCUCAACCCCGUCCGGCCGUUGAAACUGGGGGCCUUGAGUGGGCGAGAAGAAGGCGGAAUGCGUGGUGUAGCGGUGAAAUGCAUAGAUAUCACGCAGAACCCCGAUUGCGAAGGCAGCCUUCCGGCGCCCUACUGACGCUGAGGCACGAAAGUGCGGGGAUCGAACAGGAUUAGAUACCCGUGUAGUC
rnacentral:rRNA from 1 species